rnacentral:rRNA from 1 species
AAACUGGCGAACGGGUGAGUAACGCGUAGGUAACCUACCCUUAAGCUCGGGAUAACCCACCGAAAGGUGAGCUAAUACCGGAUAAUAUCUUUCCUCAUAAGGGGUAAAGAUCAAAGGUGGCUUCGGCUAUCACUUAUGGAUGGGCCUGCGUCCGAUUAGCUAGUUGGUAGGGUAACGGUCUACCAAGGCAAUGAUCAGUAGCUGGUCUGAGAGGGCGAUCAGCCACAUUGGGACUGAGAUACGGCCCAGACUCCUACGGGAGGCAGCAGUGGGGAAUUUUGCGCAAUGAGCGAAAGCUUGACGCAGCAACGCCGCGUGAUCGAAGAAGCUCUGCGGAGUGUAAAGAUCUGUCAUAGGGGAAGAUAAGUCCCGUUAUUAACACCAUCGGGAUGCGACGGUACCCUAUAAGAAAGCCCCGGCUAACUUCGUGCCAGCAGCCGCGGUAAUACGAGGGGGGCAAGCGUUGUCCGGAUUUAUUGGGCGUAAAGAGUUCGUAGGCUGGUUGGUCAGUCGAAAUUGAAAUCCCACGGCUUAACCGUGGACCCGGUUUUGAUACUGCCAAUCUUGAGUGAGGUAGAGGUAAGCGGAAUUCCUGGUGUAGCGGUGAAAUGCGUAGAUAUCAGGAGGAACACCAAAGGCGAAGGCAGCUUACUGGACCUAUACUGACGCUGAGGAACGAAAGCGUGGGGAGCAAACAGGAUUAGAGACCCUGGUAGUCCACGCCGUAAACGAUGAGUACUUGGUGGUGGGGGAAUCGACCCCUUCACUGUCGGAGCUAACGCGUUAAGUACUCCGCCUGGGAACUACGACCGCAAGGUUGAAACUCAAAGGAAUUGACGGGGACCCGCACAAGCGGUGGAUUAUGUGGUUUAAUUCGAUGCAACGCGAAGAACCUUACCUGGACUUGACAUGUUAGUGAAACAUUGGUGAAAGCCAAAGCCUCUGCGAGCUUGCUCAAGGACACUAUCACAGGUGAUGCAUGGCUGUCGUCAGCUCGUGUCGUGAGAUGUUCGGUUAAGUCCGAUAACGAGCGCAACCCCUAUCCUUAGUUGCCAGCACGUAAUGGUGGGGACUCUAGGGAAACUGCCCGGAUAACCGGAAGGAAGGUGGGGUCGACGUCAAGUCAGUAUGUCCCUUACGUUCAGGGCUACACACGUAAUACAAUGGGGAGUACAGAGGGUAGCAAUACUGCGAAGUGGAGCCAAUCC